UAAGGAAUAUUGGUCAAUGGACGCAAGUCUGAACCAGCCAUGCCGCGUGCAGGAAGACUGCCCUAUGGGUUGUAAACUGCUUUUGUCGGGGAAUAAACCUUCUUACGUGUAAGGAGCUGAAUGUACCCGAAGAAUAAGGAUCGGCUAACUCCGUGCCAGCAGCCGCGGUAAUACGGAGGAUCCAAGCGUUAUCCGGAUUUAUUGGGUUUAAAGGGUGCGUAGGCGGCUUUUUAAGUCAGGGGUGAAAGACGGUGGCUCAACCAUCGCAGUGCCCUUGAUACUGAAGAGCUUGAAUAAACUAGAGGUAGGCGGAAUGUGACAAGUAGCGGUGAAAUGCAUAGAUAUGUCACAGAACACCAAUUGCGAAGGCAGCUUACUAUGGUUUAAUUGACGCUGAGGCACGAAAGCGUGGGGAUCAAACAGG
rnacentral:rRNA from 1 species